rnacentral:rRNA from 1 species
AUUGAACGCUGGCGGCAUGCCUUACACAUGCAAGUCGAACGGUAACAGCACUUCGGUGGCUGACGAGUGGCGAACGGGUGAGUAAUACAUCGGAACGUGCCCGAGAGUGGGGGAUAACGCAGCGAAAGCUGUGCUAAUACCGCAUACGAUCUACGGAUGAAAGCAGGGGACCGCAAGGCCUUGCGCUCAUGGAGCGGCCGAUGGCAGAUUAGGUAGUUGGUGGGAUAAAAGCUUACCAAGCCGACGAUCUGUAGCUGGUCUGAGAGGACGACCAGCCACACUGGGACUGAGACACGGCCCAGACUCCUACGGGAGGCAGCAGUGGGGAAUUUUGGACAAUGGGCGAAAGCCUGACCCAGCCAUGCCGCGUGCAGGAUGAAGGCCUUCGGGUUGUAACUAGCUUUUGUACGGUAACGAAAGGUACGUUUUACUUAAUAAAGAAGGACUCAUGACGGUACCGUAAGAAUAAAGCACCGGCUAACUACGUGCCAGCACG